GGGAGGCGGAUAUUGCAGUGAGCCGAGUUCGCGCCACUGCACUCCAGCCUGGGCGAUGAGAGUGAAACUCCAUCUCAAAAAAACAAAACAAGAAAGAAAUACCUGAAACUGGGUAAUUUAUAAAGGAAAGAGGCUUAAUUGACUCACAGUUUCGCAUUAUUUGCUGGGGAGGCCUCAGGAAACUUACAAGCAUGGCGGAAGGCAAAAGGAGAAGCAGACACCUCCUUCAAGAGAUGGCAGGAGAGCGUGAGAGCUAGAGCAGGAAAAAAUUCCACUUUUAAAACCAUCAAAUCUCGCGACAUUCACUCACUAUCACGAGAACGGCGGGGCGGUGGGGAAUUGCCCCGGUAAUCCUUCCCUCCCUCAACACGUGGGGAUUACAGGUCCCUCCUUGGCAAGCAGGGAUUACGAUUCGAGAUGAGAUUUGUGUGAGGACACAGAGCCAAACCAUAUCAGUACCCAAUGUUUAUGGUUUUAUGUACUUGUGAAUGGCCUCCAGCUGGAUCUGUAUUGCUGCAAAGUACAUGAUUUAAUUCUUUUUUAUGAUUAUGUAGUAUUCCACAAUGUAUAUGUACUAUGAUUUCUUUAUCUAAUCCACCAUUGAUGGGCACCUACGUUGAUUCCUUGUCUUUGCUAUUGUGAAUAGUGCCGCAAUGCACACACAAGUGCCUAUGUCAUUUUGGUAUAAUACUUUGUUUCCUUUUGGAUAUAUACCCAAUAAUGGAAUUGCUUUUUUUUCUUUUUUUCUUUUUUUUUGUGUGACGGAGUUUUGCUCUUGUUGCCCAGGCUGGAAUGCAGUGGCACAAUCUCGGUUCACUGCAGCCUCCACCUCCAGGGUUCAAGCAAUUCUCCUGCCUCCCGAGUAGCUGAGAUUACAGGCAUCUGCCACCACGCCCAGCUAAUUUUCUGUAUUUUUAGUGGAAACGGGGUUUCACCAUGUUGGCCAGGCUGGUCUUGAACUCCUGACCUCAGUUCAUCCACUUGCCUCAGCCUCCCAGAGUGCUGGGAUUAUAGGUGUGAGCCACUGUGCCCGGCCGGCAUUGCUUUUCUUGUUCCAAGGGGGAAUGCUUCAGUGUUUGCCUAUUCAGUAUGAUGUUGGCUGUGGGUUUGUCAUAGAUGGCUCUUAUUAUUUUGAGGUACAUUCCUUCGAUGCCUAGUUUCUUGAGGGUUUUUAUCACGAAAGGAUGUUGGAGUUUAUUGAAAGCAUUUUCUGCAUCUAUUGGGAUGAUGGUUUUUGUUUGUAAUUCUGUUUAUGUGGUGAAUCACAUUUAUUGAUUCAUGCAUGUUGAACCAAUCUUGCAUCACAGGAAUGAAACCUACUUGAUCAUAGUGAAUUAAUCUUUUUUUUUUUUUUGAGGUAGAGUCUCGCUCUGUUAUUCAGGCUAGAGUGCAGUGACACAAUCUCGGCUCACUGCAACCUCCACCUCCAGGUUCAAGUGAUUCUCCUGCCUCAGCCUCCCGAGGAGCUGGGAUUAUAGACAUGCACCACCAUACCUGGCUAAUUUUUUUGUAUUUUUAGUAGAGAUGGGGUUUCGCCAUGUUGGUCAGGCUGGUCUCGAACUUAUGGCCUCUAGUGAUCUAUCCACCUCAGCCUCCCAAAGUGCUGGGAUUACAGCAUGAGCCACCACCCGGCCAACUUUUUGAUGUGCUGUUGAAUUCAGUUUGCUAGUAUUUUGUUGAGGAUUGUUGUGUCUAUGUUCAUCAGGGAUAUUGGCCUGAAGCUUUCUUUUUUCACUGUGUCUUUGCCAGGUUUUGAGGUCAGGGUGAUGCUGGCUUCAUAGAAUGAGUUAGAGAAGAGUUCCUCCUACCUGAUUUUUUGGAAUAGUUUC
rnacentral:lncRNA from 1 species